rnacentral:rRNA from 2 species
UAUACAUAGUCUAGCCUGUUCACUGACAAAAAUGUUAAAUAGCCGCGGUAUUUUGACCGUGCAAAGGUAGCAUAAUCAUUAGUUUUUUAAUUGAAAACUUGUAUGAAUGGUUGGACAAAGAAAAAGCUGUCUCUUUUAUUAGGAUUGAAAUUAACCUCUAAGUGAAAAGGCUUAGAUUUUCUAGAGGGACGAUAAGACCCUAUAAAGCUUUAUAAGUUGAAUGAGUUAAAUGAAUUUUUUAGAAUAAAAGUAAACUUAGAAGAUUUAUUUGGUUGGGACGACAAAGGUAUAAUAUUGAAUAACUGCUAUCAGAGCUAAACAAUUAUAUUUGAUUAGAGUUAUAAUUGAUCCUUAUUAUGGAUUAAGAGAUCAAGUUACAUUAGGGAUAACAGCGUAAUUUCUUUUGAGAGUUCUUAUCAAAGAAGAAGUUUGCGACCUCGAUGUUGAAUUAAAAUGUCUUUAUAGUGCAGAAGCUAUAGAAGAAGGUCUGUUCGACCUUUAAUUUUUUACAUGAUUUGAGU